rfam:Phlebotomus papatasi Contig64788.1, whole genome shotgun sequence.
AAAACGGUCCUUUUGAGGACCACUAAACAAUAUUUAACGAGUUUAC